ACUGUUCUGAGGAAAAAAUGUUAACUUUGCAGAGAUUGUAUGCAAAAGGAAAAAGCUGACUGUAAACAUUAGAGAGAAAGAGCAAAUAAAUUCCUGGUUUAAGACAAAGACUCCUGACCUCUCUCUGAGCAGAGGAGCUGAUGGCAAUAACCAGUAACUGAUAAACAGCUCAGCUUAUGAAAGUAUCUGCAUGUUUUGUUUCUGACUCUGUGCUCUGUAGCUCGUGUAGGACAGGUUGGAGCUGUAGCAGGUAUUACAACCGGGUGCAGCGUGGCAGCGGGAUGGGAAGCACCGGAGAAUCAGUCGCUCUGCACAAACCCGUGCCAGCCAGCAGAGCACCUCGCCCCACUCCCUCGCCCGGGGCUUGCUCACAAAAGCACCCACAGCGGCAGGAGAGACCUCCAGGCUCCUCCAGAAGGAACACGGGCUGAGAUGGAAACGUUACUGGCUUUUAUCACUAGUGGAAACGAGGCACAUUUCAUUAAGUUCAGCAGUAUUUUUGCGCUGUGCAUAGCACUCGUGUGCUGAUUUUUUAAACACACGUGGAAUUAUGGUAAUGCAGUUGUUAUUGGCACUGAAGACAAAAUCAGGUUCUUGGAAAACUUAGAAAGGCAUGAGUCAAAUCGAACUGCAAAGUCUGCCCUGUGGAGACCAAUUCCCGCAUAGGAAGCACUGUGCGAGCACUGGAAAUCUCCUGCAAAAGACUCUGCAGAGACCGCGGGUCCCUGGAGUUUCGCUUCUCACCUGUCCUUUGGCUGGAAAAGUUGCUCAGAGCCGGGAGGCCCGUGCAGCAGGGCAGUGUGUGCAGGAGAGCUGAGCCCGCUGGGCGCUGCAUGCUGCUCCUGCCCAUCGCUGCUGAGACCGGGAAGAAGAAAGGAAUGCCACCUCCCACCGGCUCGUUUCCUCCCCCCUGCUUGGUGUCUGAAGCAGCUUCACUUCUGUUUGUCUCAAUUGCUGUGUAGAACACACACUUCCACGUAUAACUUGAAGAAUGCAUGUUUGAAUAGCUUGCUGGCGUGUCCAAAUGAAUUUUCUACUGCAAACACAAUAGUACAUUUACAAAUUAACUGGAAAUUUCUGAAAAUAUUUCCCCAAAAAUAUGAACGCAGCAUAAUGUAUCUACAGGGGUACGAUGAAGGUUAUAUUUUCCCUUCCAAUAGUGAAGAUGUAAUUGGGAAUUUAGUGGCUGUAGUAUUCUACCUGCAAGAAAAACAAUUUAUUUAUUUAUUUAUUUAUUUAUUUAUUGCAUGAGUAGAAGAUGGUCAUAUAGCAUGAGAGGACAUGAGGACCAAGCAUAUUUUUAGAAUGUGUUCUGUAAGCGCAAAACCUGAAAUUCUGGGUAUUUAGAAUACAUUGAAUUUGAGAAGUACUUGUAAUCUUGGAGCCAAAAACCAUCUUACCCAAAGUUAGUGCAUUUAGUACAUCUUUUCCUAGUGGACCAGAUGUAUUCUUAUGAGUUUGAACUAAGGCAAGAUUCGGAGUUGCCCAGACGGGCUCAGAUUCCCAGAGGGGCACGCACGCUGCCUCCUCGCUGCUGAGCGCCCGCCUGGUGCGUGCGUUCCGCUGGGGUGCGGGGCUGGGGCACGGCUGGGACGGGGCUGGUGGCUCUGCGGCAGGGGUGGCAGCGUCACACGGAAAGUUGAGUCCAGCCCCUGCGCUGGAGCAAGGGAGGUUGGGGCUGGAGUGGCAGAAAAGGCGUGCGAGAUGGAGCAGCCAGCGGAGGCUUAAUUGCUGCCAAGGGCACGGGCUGAGGGGAGGCGCGGGCAGCCCCAGGUGCCCCCGAGCAGGUCACAGCAGCGCUAUUUCAGACACGCUCCUUGGCUUGUGAUGUGGAACAGUCCAGUAAUUUCUACUGUAUCAAUUAAUUGUGAGAGACAUUUUCACCUGUUUUGUUACCCUGUGGGUCAAUCCGAUCACAAAAGGAAAAAUAUGCCUGGACCACGAGACAAUUUGGAUAGACCCUGCUGUCUGUGAUUUAUUGUUUUAAUUAAAAGCUUUUUAAGCUUUAAUUAAAAAGGUACAUGAGCACUCAGUAUUCAAGAAAAAUGCUUUUGUGUUUAGGUCAAUUGAAUAACGUAAAAUAUAAUGAGAUACAUAUUUCUAGUCUGGAGCUUCACAUGAAAAAAAGCAAUAUACAUAAUUAAAAAGUAAAUUCAAACUGAUAGAAGAGAGCUGUUGUCAGACAAAAUAAAAGGUAUGCCUUAAAUUAACA
ensembl:lncRNA